rnacentral:lncRNA from 1 species
CCGCCACCUCUCCUACUCCAUGCACCGUGGGGAACUUGAUUUUGAAAUGAGGGAUGGAGGUCACAGCUUGGAGAGCAGUCAAGGUAGGUCUCCCCAGUAUAGCGUUAUAAGCCGAGUCCACAUGCACAACAUAAAAUUUACACAUUAUUUCUACCUGCUGGGGUGCUCUGCCGAAGAUAACCGGGAGUUCAAUAGUGUCUUCAACUUUGACCGGAUCGUUGCUGAAGCCGUAUAAAGGAGCCUCCUGCCCGACCUCCAUUUUCUGCUCAUCAAGAUGCAUCCUCUGAUAGGCAUGGGCAUAUAAAAUAUCCACCGAAGACCCAUUGUCUAUCAUCAUGCGUUUCACGUCCACCGAGCCCACUUGCGCUGUGAUCACCAAGGCUCCCUCGUGUGGCUCGAUGGGCUCCGAAGGAUAAUCUACGUCCGUAAAUGAUAU